rnacentral:rRNA from 1 species
UUCGCCCUUAGAGUUUGAUCCUGGCUCAGAGCGAACGCUGGCGGCAGGCUUAACACAUGCAAGUCGAGCGGGCGUAGCAAUACGUCAGCGGCAGACGGGUGAGUAACGCGUGGGAACGUACCUUUUGGUUCGGAACAACACAGGGAAACUUGUGCUAAUACCGGAUAAGCCCUUACGGGGAAAGAUUUAUCGCCGAAAGAUCGGCCCGCGUCUGAUUAGCUAGUUGGUGAGGUAACGGCUCACCAAGGCGACGAUCAGUAGCUGGUCUGAGAGGAUGAUCAGCCACAUUGGGACUGAGACACGGCCCAAACUCCUACGGGAGGCAGCAGUGGGGAAUAUUGGACAAUGGGGGCAACCCUGAUCCAGCCAUGCCGCGUGAGUGAUGAAGGCCCUAGGGUUGUAAAGCUCUUUUGUGCGGGAAGAUAAUGACGGUACCGCAAGAAUAAGCCCCGGCUAACUUCGUGCCAGCAGCCGCGGUAAUACGAAGGGGGCUAGCGUUGCUCGGAAUCACUGGGCGUAAAGGGUGCGUAGGCGGAUCUUUAAGUCAGAGGUGAAAGCCUGGAGCUCAACUCCAGAACUGCCUUUGAUACUGGGGAUCUUGAGUUCGGGAGAGGUGAGUGGAACUGCGAGUGUAGAGGUGAAAUUCGUAGAUAUUCGCAAGAACACCAGUGGCGAAGGCGGCUCACUGGCCCGAUACUGACGCUGAGGCACGAAAGCGUGGGGAGCAAACAGGAUUAGAUACCCUGGUAGUCCACGCCGUAA